GAACAACAUACUGCCCCAUAGAACUAAAUACCACAGUCCAUCACAAAAUACUGCUGCCAGUAGUACAAAAUACAUCCCCAAAAACUUCCACUGGCCAGCCGUGAGGAGGACUCAGGUGGUCCCCUGGUCAUCGGCCCACAAGGAA